AUACGGAGGGUGCAAGCGUUAAUCGGAAUCACUGGGCGUAAAGCGCGCGCAGGCGGAUUGGCAAGUUGGAUGUGAAAGCCUGCGGCUCAACCGCAGAACUGCAUCCAAAACUGUCAGUCUAGAGUCUGGGAGAGGUAGCUGGAAUUAGUGGUGUAGGGGUAAAAUCCGUAGAGAUCACUAGGAAUACCGAAAGCGAAGGCGAGCUACUGGAACAGUACUGACGCUGAGGCGCGAAAGCGUGGGGAGCAAACAGGAUUAGAAACCCCAGUAGUCC
rnacentral:rRNA from 1 species